rnacentral:misc_RNA from 1 species
UAGGACCCAAGAUAUAAAUGGUACUCAUCUAUUAAAUGCAUGUGUGUGUCUUGAGUGCAUAGUGUCUAGGUUAGAAUUUCCCUAGAUCUCUAACAUCACCAAGCUCUUCAUAAAGUUUCUCCAGCCCGUUUGGAGGAAAGAGGGGAACAAGCCGCUGCUUUUUCCAAUUUUCAAGAUGUGAAUACAAACAUCAUGCGUCAUGCCAAAAAUAGGCGUACAUAUUCAAAACCACAUUUAACAUGUUCCUUCCAUCAAAAAGCCAUCAUAGAAAAAAGCUAUCAAUCAUCUGCUUAUGGGUAAAAAUUAGAAGAAACCGUCCUAUCAGAAAAUGUUACCACCUAAAAUGAAAAAGCCAUUAAUUCAAAAUGACACUAAUAAGCGCACAAAUUGAAUUUAAAUAAUAAUUUUCCAAGCAGCUUUCUUUUAUAUUUCGUGAGCUAAACCUUGUGCAAUUAUCUCAUAGAAAUAAAUUAAGAGGAUAACCAAUUGACACAAUUGAAA